GAUGAAGAACGUAGCGAAAUGCGAUAAGUAAUGUGAAUUGCAGAAUUCAGUAAAUCAUCGAAUCUUUGAACGCACAUUGCGCCCGCCAGUAUUCUGGCGGGCAUGCCUGUUCGAGCGUCAUUACAACCCUCAGGCCCCCGGGCCUGGCGUUGGGGAUCGGCGGAAGCCCCCUGCGGGCACAACGCCGUCCCCCAAAUACAGUGGCGGUCCCGCCGCAGCUUCCAUUGCGUAGUAGCUAACACCUCGCAACUGGAGAGCGGCGCGGCCACGCCGUAAAACACCCAACUUCUGAAUGUUGACCUCGAAUCAGGUAGGAAUACCCGCUGAACUUAAGCAUAUCAAUAAGCGGAGGA
rnacentral:misc_RNA from 1 species